UGCAGUCGCACGAUGAAGCCCAGCUUGCUGGGUGGAUUAGUGGCGAACGGGUGAGUAACACGUGAGUAACCUGCCCUUAACUCUGGGAUAAGCCUGGGAAACUGGGUCUAAUACCGGAUAGGAGCGUCCACCGCAUGGUGGGUGUUGGAAAGAUUUAUCGGUUUUGGAUGGACUCGCGGCCUAUCAGCUUGUUGGUGAGGUAAUGGCUCACCAAGGCGACGACGGGUAGCCGGCCUGAGAGGGUGACCGGCCACACUGGGACUGAGACACGGCCCAGACUCCUACGGGAGGCAGCAGUGGGGAAUAUUGCACAAUGGGCGCAAGCCUGAUGCAGCGACGCCGCGUGAGGGAUGACGGCCUUCGGGUUGUAAACCUCUUUCAGUAGGGAAGAAGCGAAAGUGACGGUACCUGCAGAAGAAGCACCGGCUAACUACGUGCCAGCAGCCGCGGUAAUACGUAGGGUGCGAGCGUUAUCCGGAAUUAUUGGGCGUAAAGAGCUCGUAGGCGGUUUGUCGCGUCUGUCGUGAAAGUCCGGGGCUUAACCCCGGAUCUGCGGUGGGUACGGGCAGACUAGAGUGCAGUAGGGGAGACUGGAAUUCCUGGUGUAGCGGUGGAAUGCGCAGAUAUCAGGAGGAACACCGAUGGCGAAGGCAGGUCUCUGGGCUGUAACUGACGCUG
rnacentral:rRNA from 1 species